CCUACGGGUGGCAGCAGUGGGGAAUAUUGGACAAUGGGCGAAAGCCUGAUCCAGCCAUGCCGCGUGUGUGAAGAAGGCCUUCGGGUUGUAAAGCACUUUCAGUGGGGAAGAAAGCCUUGGGGCUAAUACCCUCGAGGAAGGACAUCACCCACAGAAGAAGCACCGGCUAACUCCGUGCCAGCAGCCGCGGUAAUACGGAGGGUGCGAGCGUUAAUCGGAAUUACUGGGCGUAAAGCGCGCGUAGGCGGUCUGAUAAGCCGGUUGUGAAAGCCCCGGGCUCAACCUGGGAACGGCAUCCGGAACUGUCAGGCUAGAGUGCAGGAGAGGGAGGUAGAAUUCCCGGUGUAGCGGUGAAAUGCGUAGAGAUCGGGAGGAAUACCAGUGGCGAAGGCGGCCUUCUGGACUGACACUGACGCUGAGGUGCGAAAGCGUGGGUAGCAAACAGGAUUAGAUACCCUAGUAGUC
rnacentral:rRNA from 1 species